AUGGACUCUCUGUAUAAUGAAAUUAAGACUGUACCUGAUGGCUGGAAGAUCCGAACAUGCUUUAGGAGCAUUUAUUGGGACCAUUGGAGAAAGGGGCACACUGUCCAUGUUGAUGACAUAUCAGCCGACCCACAUCAUGCUAUGAUGCUACCUCACCUGUGGGAUAGUAGAACUCAUAAAUGCAGAUUGAAUAGACUGAAGACUACACCAGGCUACCCGACCUUCAGCAUUUAUGGUAUUGAUUUUGUCUACCUCAUGUCUGAAGUGGGUGUUAACAAGAAGCCAUGGAUGCUUGGUGUAGAUAUUGAAAAGAAGUCUCUGGAUGUUAUCAAACCAUAUUGUGCCUCAAGAGCACCUUGUUCCGAUCAGACCUUCAAGAACACCUUCAUUUCCUGUGCAUUCUCUGCAUAUCUGAAUGCUGCUCCAAGUCCAAGGCCAUAUGAUGAGGAAGUUUCAGCAGAGUCUGCUCACAGCGGUGCAAUGGAUGAUCAUCUUCCGUCGGGCAAUACUGUUCCAAAAGAUGUGCAAACCCAGCAAAACACGUCGAAUGGGGAUGACUCUGGCAAGUAUCAUCCGCCAACCCACUUCAGCCACCCAGUUUGA
rnacentral:rRNA from 1 species